rnacentral:pre_miRNA from 1 species
UCGUUUUGGUUCCUUAACUAUUAAAAGUUUCGUUUCGGUCCCAUAACUUAUUUUUUGGUUUCAUUUUGGUCCCUUAACUAUUAAAAGUUUCGUUUUGGUCCUUUAACUUACUUUUUGGUUUCGUUUUGGUCCCUUAACUUAUUUUUUGGUUUCAUUUUGGUCCCUUAACUCUAAUACAUUCAUCCUAACAUAAAGGACCAAAGUGGUUGACAGAGGAUGAGUUAAGGGACCAAAACAAAACCAAAAAGUAAGUUAAAGGAUCAAAACGAAACCAAAAAGUAAGUUAAGGGACCAAAACGAAACUUUUAAUAGUUAAGGUACCAAAACGAA